rnacentral:rRNA from 1 species
UAAGUUACUAAGAGCACACGGGGGAUGCCUAGGCUCUCAAAGGCGAAGAAAGACGUGAUAAGCUGCGAUAAGGUUCGGGGAGAAGCAAAUAUUUUGUGAUCCGGACAUUUCUGAAUGGGGAAACCCGUCUGGUUGAAGACCAGUCAUCCGAAAGGAGGCAAACGCACUGAACUGAAACAUCUAAGUAGGUGCAGGAAGAGAAAACAAUAGUGAUUUCCGUAGUAGCGGCGAGCGAAGUGGAAAUAGCCCAAACCGUUUUUGUUUCGGCAAAAUCGGGGUUGUAGGACUACAAUAUCCGUAAUAAAGUAUAGUGGAACAAGUUGGAAAGCUUGGCAAUAUGAGUGAUAGCCUCGUACACGAAAUGCUUUAGAAGGUAGUAGUAUCCUGAGUAGGGCGGGACAUGUGAAAUCCUGUCUGAAUCUGCCAGAACCAUCUGGUAAGGCUAAAUACUCUUGAGAGACCGAUAGCGAACUAGUACCGUGAGGGAAAGGUGAAAAGAACCCUGAACAAGGGAGUGAAAAAGAUCCUGAAACCGUGUGUUUACAAGCGGUCGAAGCCUUAGGGCGACGGCGUGCCUUUUGCAUAAUGAUCCUACGAGUUACUCCUCAUUGGCAAGGUUAAGUCUUUAAGGGACGAAUCCGAAGCGAAAGCGAGUCUGAAUAGGGCGUUUUAGUUAGUAGUGGUAGACGCGAAACCGUGUGAUCUACCCAUGGGCAGGGUGAAGCUGUAGUAACAUACAGUGGAGGCCCGAACCGAUAUACGUUGAAAAGUGUUCGGAUGACCUGUGGGUAGGGGUGAAAGGCCAAUCAAACUCGGAAAUAGCUCGUACUCCCCGAAAUGCAUUUAGGUGCAGCGUUGAUUUAUAGUUUUAUAGAGGUAGAGCUACUGAUUGGAUGCGGGGGCUUCACCGCCUACCAAUUCCUGACAAACUCCGAAUGCUAUAAAAUGUUAAUCAGCAGUGAGGGCAUGGGUGCUAAGGUCCAUGUCCGAGAGGGAAAGAACCCAGACCAUCAGCUAAGGUCCCCAAAUAUAUGUUAAGUUGAAUAAACGAGGUUGAACUGCUUUGACAGCUAGGAUGUUGGCUUGGAAGCAGCCAUUCAUUUAAAGAGUGCGUAACAGCUCACUAGUCGAGCGGUUCAGCAUGGAUAAUAAUCGGGCAUAAACAUAUUACCGAAGCUAUGGACUUGAAAAAGUGGUAGGGGAGCAUUGUAGUGUCGUCGAAGGUGUACUGCGAGGUAUGCUGGAGAAGCUACAAAAGAAAAUGUAGGCAUAAGUAACGAUAAUGCGGGCGAGAAACCCGCACACCG